GUUGACCUCGGAUCAGGUAGGAAUACCCGCUGAACUUAAGCAUAUCAAUAAGCGGAGGAAAAGAAACCAACAGGUAUUGCCCUACUAACGGCGAGUGAAGCGGAAACAGCUCAAAAAUAAAAUCUGGCUCUCGGUCCCGAAUUGUUAUCUAUAUAGGAUACUUUUGAUGCGGUACCUUACCGAGAUCUCGUCGUACAAGACGACAUAGAUGGUGAGAGCCACGGCUGGUUGUAUGCGGAACUCUGUAAGGAUCCUCUCACAGUAUACUCUAUAGUAUGACUGCUGUACAUAAGACGAAAAUUUCAAUCUAAAGCCUGAUACUGUUCCCUCGAACGA
rnacentral:rRNA from 1 species